ACCUAAGGUCAUCUUUAAAGGUCUCUUGAUUGUCAUUAAGCAUUCACACAAUAAACAUAUGAUCAUAGAUACCUUUAUUGAUAAAGAAAGUUAGAUUCUUUAUCUAAAGUCUUGAACAGCCAUUUUCAUUGACCUCACACCUAACUUUGUUUAUAGCAAACCAAAGCUAUCUAAGAGGCCAUUGUGUAGCCUUUGACAAAAGUCCACAUGAGGAUUAUUGU
rnacentral:lncRNA from 1 species